rnacentral:misc_RNA from 1 species
ACGAUUUCUGGUGGUUUGAAAUUUAAAAUUACGAAUAUAUAAUUUUUUAUUUGCAGGUCAAGACCUACUCUUUCGUGUGGAAUACAUCAAAGGAAAACUGUAUGCCGGCAUUAAUGACCUUGGUGACGUGUACGAUGAAAUUAAAGCUCUUUUCACCAAGCAGGGUGUUGACUUCCAGAACAGCGUCCAGAACACUGCAAACGUCAACGUGGGAAAAAGCGAUCUUG